CUUAUGAAAGAUAAGAUACUCAGGUACAAAAUUAUGUACUUGUAGCCUUUAUUUUGAAUAUUAUUGAGAGUUUAUGUUUUUUUUUACACAUAGUUUAAUUUCUUCACUCAAAUUAUGGACAGAGUAAAAGGUAUACAUGUUCAGGAAGAUUAAUAUGCAAACCCACAAACAACCUCAGAAGUUGAAGCUAACGGCUGUACAUUAUUUUGACUAGGAAAAUGGAAUUUUUACUUAGCUCAUAAUCAUUUAGACUGAGUCCAUUAGUCACUUCAUUUUUCACAGAAACUAGUUUGCUGGGAUUGGUUGGACUCUGAUUAGAAAUGUUAUGCACCCAUAUCUGGUCUGGCAGACUUUGGAAGCCACCGUAUUCUAAGUAAUGAGCAAGUCCCAGAAAGGAUAUCGUAAAGGAAUUCCGUCUCUCAUUCGGUGCCAUUGAUUAAACCAGAUUGAGGGAAACAGUGACAGAAAACAAACUUUUUUCUGAAGCACUCUGGACACACUAGCUCUCUCAGUCCCUGAAUUUCUAGGCACAAUGCAACUACAAAUCCCCAGGCGCAUGGCCAGAUGGGGAGAGGCCGUGGUGCAGAAACAGAGUGUACACAAAAGCCACUCCACACCCUGUUCUCUAACGGAUGUUGGGGUCCACGUUGAGAGUGCCGAAUAGGAGGGAAGGUGAACUCUAGAAUAGCCAAUGUGUCCAACUCAUGAUCUGGCUUGUCCAAGGUCAUGCAGGUAGAAAAUAGUGUCAAGGUAAAGACUCGAACUUGGGUGUCCCAGCUCCAAGUCAAUAAAUGCUGUCUCUGUUCCUCUCUCUUACAUCAGCACUCAAGAGCCUCCGACUCCACAAUUAUUUCCUCCGUUCUUGAGGCCUUUCUUCUGGGAAUCAUUCUGGGUGACUGCUGGGAUCCUAGAUCAGAUGGAGUUUCACUCUUGUCGCCCACGCUGGAGUACAAUGGUGCAAUCUCAGCUCACUGCAACCUCUGCCUCCCGAGUUCAAGCAAUUCUCCUGCCUCAACCUCCUGAGUAGCUGGGAUUUCAGGCAUGCACCACCACACCCAUCUAAUUUUGUAUUUUUAGUAGAGAUGGGUAUCUCCAUGUUGGUCAGGCUGGUCUCAAACUCCUGACCACAGCGGAUCUGUCCACCUUGGCCUCCCAAAAAGCUGGAAUUACAGGAAAUGCCUUUCCUGAGGCUCGGAUUGUUGGGAGAGAGAAAGAGGAAGAAAGGAAGAGUGGGAGAAGUGUCCAGUAUGUGUGAUGCAGGCUCAACCGCACAGGAACACAGAGAAAAGCGAAAAUCACAACCAGGCAUGCCCUGGACGUAGCUGUCAAAAACUUACAACCCUAAAAUCCCAGAGUUCAGGUAUUUUCUUCUAGCAACACAAAAAGAACCAAGACAAGCAGGAAAGAGACAUGAUCAGAUUUGCCUAAUCAAAGAAUCACUGUGGAUUCUGGGCAGAAGUUUUACUAAAGGGAGACAGAAGUGGAAGCAGAGACCAUAAGAGUACUCUUCUGCAACACAGGUGAAAAAUGUUGGUGGUUCACAUUAGCAUGAUACAAAGGGAUGUGGAAGAAGUACUGGGAUUUCAGAUGUAUUUUAAGUUACUGCUGGCCUAGCUUAUGGCUUGAAUGUAAAGUGACAUGGGAGAAAAAAAUCAUUACGGGAGGUGUCAACAUUUUUGGCUUCAGCAACUCUGUGCAUGGUGAUCUACAUACAUGGUUAAGGAUGAAGAGCUGAUUUGGGAAGGAAAGUAAGAAAUCAGUUAUUCAGAUCUAGACACAUUAAGCUUAAGAUGCUCAUUAGAUAUUAAACAGAUACUGGGUAGGCAGUUGGGUCUGAGUCUGGAGUUUGAGGAGAGGUUGGGUCAGGAGGAAAACAUUUGGAAAUGAGUAGCAUAUUUUAAGCCAGGAGACUAAAUGAUAUCAUCUUAGCAAAUGAGUAUACGAGAAGCAGCAAGCUAAUGUCUGAGCCUUGGGGCACUCCAGUGUUUAGAGUCUGGGUAGAAAAGAAGACUCCAGCAAUAGGGACAAAUCACAGGAGACCAUCUAGAACAUUCCCCACCACACCUACUAGUCUGUUCGUACCAGUACCCUCCUCUGCUCUUGCUACAUAAACUUCUCCACAGCUCACCAGUUCACCUACCCACAGAAUCCUAUUUCUUCUCUUGUGCUAAAGGACAUCAUUUCAGCAAUAUAACCCUCUCCAUUACACAA